rnacentral:rRNA from 1 species
UAGAGUUUGAUCCUGGCUCAGAAUCAACGCUGGCGGCGUGCCUAACACAUGCAAGUCGAACGCCAAAGCCCCGCAAGGGGUAAGUAGAGUGGCAAACGGGUGAGUAACACGUGGGUGACCUGCCUUCGAGCGGGGGAUAACGUCCCGAAAGGGUCGCUAAUACCGCAUUACAUCCUGCCUUUGAACAGGCGGUGAUCAAAGCUGGGGAUCGCAAGACCUAGCACUCGAAGAGGGGCCCGCGCCUGAUUAGCUAGUUGGUGGGGUAACGGCUCACCAAGGCAACGAUCAGUAUCCGGCCUGAGAGGGCGGACGGACACACUGGGACUGAGACACGGCCCAGACUCCUACGGGAGGCAGCAGUGGGGAAUUGUUCGCAAUGGGCGCAAGCCUGACGACUCAACGCCGCGCGGAGGAUGAAGAUCUUCCGGUCGUAAACUCCUUUCAAUCGAUACGAACGGCCUCCGGGUGAACAAUCCGGAGGAGUGACGGAACCGAGAGAAGAAGCCCCGGCUAACUCCAUGCCAGCUCCCGCGGUAAUACUGGGGGGGCAAGCGUUGUUCGGAAUUACUGGGCGUAAAGGGCUCGUAGGCGGCCAACUAACUCGGACAUGAAAUCCCUCGGCUUAACCGGGGAACUGCGUCCGAUACUGGAUGGCUAGAGUGUGGGAUAGGGAUGCGGAAGUCCAGGUGUCCGCUGAAAUGCGUAUAUAUCUGUAGGAACACCAGUGGCGAAGGCGGUAUCCUGGACCACUACUGACGCUGAGGAUCGUCAGCCAGAGGAGCAAACGGGGAUAGAUACCUCGGCAGUCCUGGUCCUCACGAUGAAUGCUUGUUGUGGCGGGCAUCGAUCCCUGCCCAUGCCCUAUCCUAACGCACUAAGCAUUCCGUCCUGGGGGGAGUAC